AUGCUGAUGCUUCUGCUGUUCCUGGGGCCCAGCUCUGGACUCGGUGCCCUCGUCUUCCAGGUGCCCAGCACAAUGAUCUGUAAGAGUGGAGCCACCGUGCAGAUCCAGUGCCAAACAGUGGACCUCCAAGCCACAACCAUGUUUUGGUAUCGCCAGUUCCCGAAGCAGGGCCUUACCCUUAUGGUGACCUCUAACGUGGGCAAUAGUACCACACAUGAGCAGGGGUUCCCUGCAGCCAAGUUCCCUGUUAGCCACCCAAACCUCAAGUUUUCCUCCCUGAUGGUGACGAACUCAGGUCCUGGAGACAGUGGCCUCUACUUCUGUGGUGCUAGUCACACAGCCUGGAGCAGAGAUGAGAGACCCAGACAAGAACCCCAGUCCCAGCCCCCUGGUUCCCACCACCCUGAACCCGAACCCUGGAGGUGCUGGGGAGUGAGGCUGGGGAGAGGAAACCACAGCUUCCCUGUUUGA